rnacentral:rRNA from 1 species
AGGACGAACGCUGGCGGCGUGCUUAACACAUGCAAGUCAAGGGGGCCCAGCAAUGGGCAACCGGCGAACGGGUGCGUAACACGUGAGCAACCUACCGAAAUGUGGGGGAUAGCCGGCCUAACGGCCGAGUAAUACCGCAUACGCUCUCGAUGAGGCAUUUCAUUGAGAGGAAACCUACGGGACAUUUCGAGGGGCUCGCGGCCUAUCAGCUAGUUGGCGAGGUAACGGCUCACCAAGGCAACGAUGGGUAGC